AUUGAACGCUGGCGGCAUGCCUAACACAUGCAAGUCGAGCGGAUGAAGGGAGCUUGCUCCUGGAUUCAGCGGCGGACGGGUGAGUAAUGCCUAGGAAUCUGCCUGGUAGUGGGGGAUAACGUCCGGAAACGGGCGCUAAUACCGCAUACGUCCUGAGGGAGAAAGUGGUGGAUCUUCGGACCUCACGCUAUCAGAUGAGCCUAGGUCGUAUUAGCUAGUUGGUGAGGUAAAGGCCUACCAAGGCGACGAUCCGUAACUGGUCUGAGAGGAUGAUCAGUCACACUGGAACUGAGACACGGUCCAGACUCCUACGGGAGGCAGCAGUGGGGAAUAUUGGACAAUGGGCGAAAGCCUGAUCCAGCCAUGCCGCGUGUGUGAAGAAGGUCUUCGGAUUGUAAAGCACUUUAAGUUGGGAGGAAGGGAAGUAAGUUAAUACAUUGCUGUUUUGACGUUACCAACAGAAUAAGCACCGGCUAACUUCGUG
rnacentral:rRNA from 1 species